GACUGCUCUGAGUCGAGGCGGUAGGAGCAGAGGUCCAGAGAGAUGAGUUCAGUGGCUGCAAAGGAGCAAAGAGCCAUGUUGUCCCUUGUGCUCCAUGUGCCAGGACAAGGAAGCUGCAGCUGUCCACGCCCAGGAAAGAGAGCAAUGAAAGACAAAUGCAGCGUCGCACAGAACACACCGAAUCAGCCUGCUGCACACAGGAAGUUCUGUCCACGCCCUACCGAGGUCCUGAGUCGCGCGGAAGACACCGAAUCACCCUGCUGCAGACAGGCAGCCACCUGGUUCAACACUACAAAGACGCAGAGGACACCAGACCACCAGACCAAGGCUGAACUUGAACUCACUGUGUAAACCAGGCUGGCCUCAAACAUGCAGCAAACCUCCUCCUACUUCAG
ensembl:lncRNA